rnacentral:rRNA from 1 species
UACGGAGGAUGCAAGCGUUAUCCGGAAUGAUUGGGCGUAAAGGGUCCGCAGGUGGUACUGUAAGUCUGCUGUUAAAGAGCAAGGCUCAACCUUGUAAAAGCGGUGGAAACUACAGAACUAGAGUGCGUUCGGGGCAGAAGGAAUUCCUGGUGUAGCGGUGAAAUGCGUAGAUAUCAGGAAGAACACCGGUGGCGAAAGCGUUCUGCUAGGCCGCAACUGACACUGAGGGACGAAAGCUAGGGGAGCGAAUGGG